GACGAACGCUGGCGGCGUGCUUAACACAUGCAAGUCGAACGGAAAGGCCCUGCUUUUGUGGGGUGCUCGAGUGGCGAACGGGUGAGUAACACGUGAGUAACCUGCCCUUGACUUUGGGAUAACUUCAGGAAACUGGGGCUAAUACCGGAUAGGAGCUCCUGCUGCAUGGUGGGGGUUGGAAAGUUUCGGCGGUUGGGGAUGGACUCGCGGCUUAUCAGCUUGUUGGUGGGGUAGUGGCUUACCAAGGCUUUGACGGGUAGCCGGCCUGAGAGGGUGACCGGCCACAUUGGGACUGAGAUACGGCCCAGACUCCUACGGGAGGCAGCAGUGGGGAAUAUUGCACAAUGGGCGGAAGCCUGAUGCAGCAACGCCGCGUGCGGGAUGACGGCCUCGGUUGUAACCGCUUCGCCUGUGACGAAGCGUGAGUGACGGUAAUGGGUAAGAAGACACCGGCUAACUACGUGCCAGCAGCCGCGGUAA
rnacentral:rRNA from 1 species